UAAAGAAUGUCAGUAGCUUGUUGGUACUACUCUUUCUUCAGUCUGUAACUGAGUUGUUGUAGGCCUGGGUCAGGAUAAGCAUGAAAAAGGGAACUUAAAUAGCUCGAUGCUGAUGAGGGGUUCACAGGAGGACAAUACUACAAUUAAAGAAUGUCAGUAGCCUGUUGUGUUGGUGGACAAAUGAGCUUACUUGAAGAAGGGGGCAUCUGAACGUGAUGAAAAGCCCACCCGUGCGUAUAUUAAGUGAAAACUGGGAUUAUGUCAAGUUUUCAAUGGUAUGAUCGGCUUGUAUCUUGCUGUCAUCGAAGUUAAGACAUGGCUCCGGGGCAGUACAUUUAUGCCUCAGGAUGGAAAUGUUCCUUGGCACCAUGACAAACAUUGGUGGAGUAACAAUCCGUUUUGCUGCUGCCGCUUAUGUAUUGUCGCUGCCACAAAGAUUACUUGGACACAGAGUCAUAGUGUGUUAGAAAAUGAUUACAUUUUCCUUUUGUAACCUGAUGGUGUUAGACUGUUAGUAACAUCUCAGCAGUAGGGCGGGAUUAGCUAGCCCUUUCUUGGAUAUGUUUCUCAUAUAGUGUGUGGGGUCGACUAUUCAUA